rnacentral:lncRNA from 1 species
CUGACAGCUCUCUCACACGCACCCCACCCCACCCCCACACCCACCCAACACAUACCCGCUCAUCUUUGUUCUUACACCAGGGCAUGCUAAUCUCUCGAGUUUAAUGCACACGCAUACAAACACACAAAAUCACAAUCAUAUUAACACACACUUCACAGUCCCGUACCUACCCAUGUAGAGACUCAGGCAAACACACAUGCACAGCCCCCCAUUCACAUGCGGAUAGACACACUCGCUCUCAUAGACAGACACCCACGGGCACACUCCCAUACAGGCACACGCAGAUGCCCUCUCACGGACCCGGGCACACUCUCAAAAUACAAACACCCCCCGCACCAGCUCACAUAAACACUCUCAUCUACGGACUCACCCGCUCCCUUACGGGCACCAAGACACCCACGCAAUCCCAUACAGCGGCAAAAAUCACACACAGACACAAACCCACUCUCCAAUGCAAACAACACACACGCACACUGAUGCGUGCUUCCAUAUAGGCAAGCACACAAUCCCAUGCGGAGGCAGACUGGCACACAGGCACGAACCCACUCUCUAAUGCAAACACACACACACACACACACAGAUGCAUGCUUCCAUAUAGGCACGCGCACAAUCCCAUGCGGAGGCAGACUGGCACACAGGCACAAACACAUUCUCCAACGCAAACGCACACGCACAUGCUCGCUCCCACAGGGGCACACGCACAAUCCCAUGCAGAGGCCUACUUGCCCCCGGACGCAAACACACGCUCUCAUACACAGACACUGGCGCGCGUACUCUCAUGCAGACACACACACACACACACACACGCAGAGUGUCUGGCUUCCUGUCCCUCAAACACACACCCCCCCGACCCCCCCGACACACACACACACACAGAGCCGGCUGCUGGCCCUCCCUCCCUCGUUUCCCUCGCCCCUCCCUCUCCUCUGCCGCUUCCCCUCCCGGCCGCCCGGUCCCCCCCGGUCCGGUCCGGUCCCCCCGCCGGUCCCCUCCGGCCCGGCCCCGGGAUGGGGGGGGCUGUGAGGCUCGGCCCCCGGAUGACGGCCCGCAGGAGCCCGAGACGGAGGGGGAGACGGGGGGAGGCGGCCACCGCCCUGCUGCCCCCGCUGGCCCUCGCCCUGGGCCUCUCUCUGGCCUGCUUCGGCCUCCUGCUGGUGGCUGUCAGUUUGGGGACCCAGGCGUCCUCGCUCCCCCAGGAGACCCUGAUGGAGGAGCGGGAGCAGGAGGAGGAAGAGGAGGAGGAGGAGGCAGAGCAAAUGCGUUCUCAGGGGGGCCCUCCCCAGGGCCCAGCCCCUCCCCUGAAGAGGAGAGUCCGCCCCCCCCCGAAGUGCUGCUAA